CGUCCGGCUGGCGGGCCGGCGCCGCGGCACCGGCCGGUUCCGCCGGGGGGAUUUCGAGAUCCGUGGACGGUUCGUGGUCCGUUUCGCGCGC
rnacentral:tRNA from 1 species